AAUUUUUGAGAGUUUGAUCCUGGCUCAGGAUUAAUGCUAGCGGGAUGCCUAAUACAUGCAAGUCGAACGAGGUGUUUACACCUAGUGGCGAACGGGUGAGUAACACGUAUCUAACAUACCUUUUAGUGGGGGAUAACUAGUCGAAAGAUUAGCUAAUACCGCAUAAUACAUUACUAUCGCAUGAGAAAAUGUUUAAAGUUGCGUUUGCAACGUUUUAAGAUUGGGGUGCGGCGUAUCAGAUAGUUGGUGAGGUAAUGGCUCACCAAGUCAAUGACGCGUAGCUGUGCUGAGAGGCAGAACAGCCACAAUGGGACUGAGACACGGCCCAUACUUCUACGGAAGGCAGCAGUAGGGAAUUUUUCACAAUGGGCGAAAGCCUGAUGGAGCAAUCCCGCGUGAACGAUGAAGGUCUUAUAUUGAUUGUAAAGUUCUUUUAUUGGAGACGAAUUGCAAGAAGAGGAAAUGCUUCUUGUUUGACUGUAUCCAUUGAAUAAGUAUCGGCUAACUAUGUGCCAGCAGCCGCGGUAAUACAUAGGAUGCAAGCAUUAUCCGGAUUUACUGGGCGUAAAGCGAGCGCAGGCGGAUUUGCAAGUCUGGUGUUAAAUGCAGCUGCUUAACGGUUGUAUGCAUUGGAAACUGCAAGUCUAGAGUGCAGUAGGGAGUUCUGGAACUCCAUGUGGAGCGGUGGAAUGCGUAGAUAUAUGGAAGAACACCAGUGGCGAAGGCGAGAACUUGGACUGUAACUGACGCUUAGGCUCGAAAGUGUGGGGAGCAAAUAGGAUUAGAUACCCUGGUAGUCCGCGCCGUAAACGAUGGAUACUAGGUGUAGGAGGUAUCGACUCCUUCUGUGCCGCAGUCAACACAAUAAGUAUC
rnacentral:rRNA from 1 species